CAAACAGGAAGUGGGGUGGAGAGCGAGGGAAGACAUGCAGCUCAGGUCUCUGGUGGCAGGCGUCGAACUCAGGACAGCUGCGUCGAGGACUGAAGCUUCAGUAUAUUGUGUGUACUUUGCCACAACACUGCUGCAAAGUACACAGCUAACAAAGGAAUUACCUCAGGAGUCUGUGAGCAUCUUUGAGUGGCCCAGUGGGGCCCUGGGGAUGGUCAUCUAGUGAUGCUGCCUGUCCAACCUGCCUGAACCUAAGACGAUCUGACCCAGAACAGUGUUGACAAGGUCACCGAAAGUUCACUUUGUGUUUGUUGGGAGCACAACCAGCCAGACAUGUAUAGGCUCUGGCAGCUUGUCUUUGUUAGGGUUUGGCUGAUGCAGACAUUUUCCCGUGGAUGUCAAAGGACGGCUCCAGGUGAAAGCUGAAUAUUUCUGUCGUUCCUUUCUAUGUGGCUCAUACCUGGCCUCUUCUUACAUGGUUGUGUUUUUUGUUUUUUCCCUAGUGCUUCAUGUUCACUAUU